UCCAAUUAUCACCAAGCAACCAAGAAAACAAAAGCCAAGUUUGAAAUUUCAAAGGAACAAAGACUCAAGUUUCUUUUUAAAUUUUUCAGUAAUCACCUCUGCUCCAGGUGAGAGAAACACGUAUCAGAGUUUCAUGGCUAGCUUAAACUAGGCACCACCAUUUCCUAUGGAGAUCGAAAUUAAGGAAGAAUGAGUGGUUUUGUUUGAUCCUAUGAUACAUGUCGCUCUCACCUGGAGCAGAGCUGCCUAAUGCUUUGAUAACAUCAUGAGAGAAUUAAGAAGCUGCUAUCAAAUUAAGUUGAAAAAGUCAAGUUUUCUCAAGAUGUGGAUGCACAUGUUUGUGAUUGUGUCGAGGUAAAUUCAUCAUAAACAAAAGUGUUGAUUCUUUCAUAUUGUAUUUUGCUCUCAUGUAUUUUAAUUUGACUAUGUAUUGAGAACAUGUUGGCAAUUAUGGCACCAUUAUUGAUUUAGACAGGUGAACAAUUUGAACAUUAUAUGACAAUCUACAUAGUUCAUAAUGUAUAUAGUUUAGAUCCAAAAGAGAUGUAGUGAAAUAUGUAUAUAAAUUAGUGUAAUUUUACUUGAUGUUGGCUAAUUGAAAAUUCAAUUUGGUCACCUAAUCUAGAACUGAACGUGCAAACAAGUUUUUGGUAACUUGAAAAUUCUCCA